CAUUCUUGAUGUUUGAGGCAAUGGUUACCUUGUCGUCUGGUGUUGAUGGCUGGUCAGGCAUGAGAUCAUACUUGAAGACCUUAUCGGUAGCUCCAAAGUAUUCAGCUAGCUUGAAUGGGGUUUCUGAAUCAGUGUGGGAGAUACCAUUCAAGGCGUAUCUAAGCUUUCCAUCAACUUCAGUCCUUGAGUUGACAAUCUUGAAAGUGCGAGUGAUGUUGAUCUGUCCAUAGUGGUACGAUCCCUGAGGGUUGGGACGGG
rnacentral:lncRNA from 1 species